rnacentral:rRNA from 1 species
AUUGAACGCUGGCGGCAUGCCUUACACAUGCAAGUCGAACAGCAGCACGGGUGCUUGCACCUGGUGGCGAGUGGCGAACGGGUGAGUAAUACAUCGGAACAUGUCCUGUAGUGGGGGAUAGCCCGGCGAAAGCCGGAUUAAUACCGCAUACGAUCUACGGAUGAAAGCGGGGGACCUUCGGGCCUCGCGCUAUAGGGUUGGCCGAUGGCUGAUUAGCUAGUUGGUGGGGUAAAGGCCUACCAAGGCGACGAUCAGUAGCUGGUCUGAGAGGACGACCAGCCACACUGGGACUGAGACACGGCCCAGACUCCUACGGGAGGCAGCAGUGGGGAAUUUUGGACAAUGGGCGAAAGCCUGAUCCAGCAAUGCCGCGUGUGUGAAGAAGGCCUUCGGGUUGUAAAGCACUUUUGUCCGGAAAGAAAUCCUUGGCUCUAAUACAGUCGGGGGAUGACGGUACCGGAAGAAUAAGCACCGGCUAACUACGUG